rnacentral:RNase_P_RNA from 1 species
CAAGCAAUUCGCCUUAUCGCUGGCUCUAUGUCAGAGGAAAGUCCGGACACCAAAGAGUAGCAUAGCGGGUAACGCCCGUCACUAAACUCGUUUUAGGAGGACAAGUGCAACAGAAAGAAUGUACAGGUAAUGCUGUAGUGAAACCAGGUAAACUCUAUGCGGUGAAAUGCCAUGUAUAUCAACAUCUAAGGGUUACUCGUCCGUUGUUGAGGGGUAGGCAGAUGGAGCUUACAAGUAAUUGUAAGCCUAGAUAAAUGAUAAGGCACCUUAGGGUGACAGAAUCCGGCUUAUAGAAUUGUUUUUAAA